CACGUAGGGUGCAAGCGUUGUCCGGAAUUAUUGGGCGUAAAGAGCGUGUAGGCGGCCCGAUUAGUCCGCUGUGAAAGUCCAGGGCUCAACCCUGGGAUGCCGGUGGAUACUGUCGGGCUAGAGUCCGGAAGGGGCGAGUGGAAUUCCUGGUGUAGCGGUGAAAUGCGCAGAUAUCAGGAGGAACACCAAUGGCGAAGGCAGCUCGCUGGGACGUGACUGACGCUGAGACGCGAAAGCGUGGGGAGCAAACAGG
rnacentral:rRNA from 1 species